CUACGGGCGGCUCCAGUCGAGAAUCUUCCGCAAUGGACGAAAGUCUGACGGAGCGACGCCGCGUGCGGGAUGAAGGCCUUCGGGUUGUAAACCGCUGUCAGUGGGGAGGAAAUGCAUCAGGGUUCUCCCUGGUGUUUGACCGAUCCGCAGAGGAAGCGCAGGCUAAGUUCGUGCCAGCAGCCGCGGUAACACGAACUGCGCGAACGUUAUUCGGAAUCACUGGGCUUAAAGAGUUCGUAGGCGGCCUUUCAAGUCGGGUGUGAAAUCCCUCGGCUCAACCGAGGAAUUGCGCCUGAUACUGUUGGGCUUGAGGGGGAUAGGGGUGAGCGGAACUGAUGGUGGAGCGGUGAAAUGCGUUGAUAUCAUCAGGAACACCGGUGGCGAAGGCGGCCCACUGGAUCUCUUCUGACGCUGAGGAACGAAAGCUAGGGGAGCGAACGGGAUUAGAUACCCCCGUAGUC
rnacentral:rRNA from 1 species